rnacentral:tRNA from 1 species
GCAAUUGGGCCGAGUGGUUAAGGCGAUAGACUUGAAUUCUAUUCCUCUCUGAGGGCGUAGGUUCUAACCCUACCAACUGCG